rnacentral:misc_RNA from 1 species
CUGAAUUAAUGAGGGGUUGUUGCUGGCUCCUUGGAGCAUGUGCACGCCUUUCAAAUUCAUCUUAACCACCUGUGCACUUGUGUAGGCUAUGAUAACUCUCAGCGUUUUUCAAACGCUGGAUUGAGAGAUAUGCGCUUCAGCUGUCUUUCAAUUUCGUAGUCUACGUUUUAUCUCAUAUACUACUGUCUUUGAAUGUCUUGUAUGGGUUUUCAUACCUAUAAAACUUUAUA